UACCCGCCGAAUUUAAGCAUAUAAUUAAGCGG
rnacentral:rRNA from 1 species